GUAGGUGGAGCUCAGUGGUGGAGCUUCUGCCUAGCAGGUGUAAGGCCCUGGGUUUGAUCCCAGCACACACA
rnacentral:tRNA from 1 species